GCGCUCGUAGCUCAAUUGGAUAGAGCGUCGGCCUCCGAAGCCGAAGGUUGUGGGUUCGACCCCCGCCGGGCGCA
rnacentral:tRNA from 2 species